rnacentral:rRNA from 1 species
UACGGAGGGGGCUAGCGUUGUUCGGAAUUACUGGGCGUAAAGAGCUCGUAGGCGGCUUGUCGCGUCGACUGUGAAAACCCGUGGCUCAACCAUGUGGUCUGCAGUCGAUACGGGCAGGCUAGAAUUCGGUAGGGGGAGACUGGAAUUCCUGGUGUAGCGGUGAAAUGCGCAGAUAUCAGGAGGAACACCGGUGGCGAAGGCGGGUCUCUGGGCCGAUAUUGACGCUGAGGAGCGAAAGCGUGGGGAGCGAACAGG